UACGAAGGGGGCUAGCGUUGUUCGGAUUUACUGGGCGUAAAGCGCACGUAGGCGGAUUGGUCAGUUAGAGGUGAAAUCCCGAAGCUCAACUUCGGAACUGCCUUUAAUACUGCCAGUCUAGAGUCCGGAAGAGGUGAGUGGAACUCCUAGUGUAGAGGUGGAAUUCGUAGAUAUUAGGAAGAACACCAGUGGCGAAGGCGGCUCACUGGUCCGGUACUGACGCUGAGGUGCGAAAGCGUGGGGAGCAAACAGG
rnacentral:rRNA from 3 species